GAUGAACGCUGGCGGCGUGCUCAACACAUGCAAGUCGAACGAAGCACUUUAUUUGAUUUCCUUCGGGACUGAUUAUUUUGUUACUGAGUGGCGGACGGGUGAGUAACGCGUGGGUAACCUGCCUUGUACAGGGGGAUAACAGUUGGAAACGGCUGCUAAUACCGCAUAAGCGCACAGCAUCCCAUGAUGCAGUGUGAAAAACUCCGGUGGUAUAAGAUGGACCCGCGUUGGAUUAGCUAGUUGGUGAGGUAACGGCCCACCAAGGCGACGAUCCAUAGCCGACCUGAGAGGGUGACCGGCCACAUUGGGACUGAGACACGGCCCAAACUCCUACGGGAGGCAGCAGUGGGGAAUAUUGCACGAUGGGCGAAAGCCUGAUGCAGCGACGCCGCGUGAGCGAAGAAGUAUUUCGGUAUGUAGCGCUCUAUCAGCAGGGAAGAUAAUGACGGUACCUGACUAAGAAGCACCGGCUAAAUACGU
rnacentral:rRNA from 1 species